AACGAACGCUGGCGGCAGGCUUAACACAUGCAAGUCGAACGCCCCGCAAGGGGAGUGGCAGACGGGUGAGUAACGCGUGGGAAUCUACCCAGAACUACGGAACAACUGAGGGAGACUUCAGCUAAUACCGUAUACGCCCUACGGGGGAAAGAUUUAUCGGUUUUGGAUGAGCCCGCGUUAGAUUAGCUAGUUGGUGAGGUAAUGGCUCACCAAGGCGACGAUCUAUAGCUGGUCUGAGAGGAUGAUCAGCCACACUGGGACUGAGACACGGCCCAGACUCCUACGGGAGGCAGCAGUGGGGAAUAUUGGACAAUGGGCGCAAGCCUGAUCCAGCCAUGCCGCGUGAGUGAUGAAGGCCUUAGGGUUGUAAAGCUCUUUCAGUGGGGACGAUAAUGACGGUACCCACAGAAGAAGCCCCGGCUAACUUCGUGCCAGCCGCCGCCGUAAAAC
rnacentral:rRNA from 1 species